UCUUAAACUGCACCAUCAGUUAGCUAAUAAGAACAAAAUUAGGUUGUGUGAGACAGAACUGUGGUUGUUCAAAGGCUGUUUAUUGUAAAGGAUUUCUCUGUAGUCAAAUUGCUGUGUAAUAUUCCAGUUUAUAGUCUCCGGCUUGCAGAUUGUGGUAAGACGUGACGUACUUAAAGUUUAAAUAUUCUCUUUUAUGAGGGAAAUCAUUUCGAAAAUACUGCAGCCAUGGAGACUUGACUCUGAAAUGUUAAAUACAUUUUCUCGUGUGUUUUUUUUUAUUUUAAAAUCUGUUAUUGCUGGAGAAGCGGAAGUAGCAGAUAACGCAGCAUCUUUGCAGCACGGAUGCUUUCCAAACAUGACUCAUUGUAAACUUGCUCAAGCGACCUGGUCUCAUUUGUGAGCUAUUAUGAAUGAUGACCUAUACAACCUCAGCAUAUCCUUCUUGUAACUCAUGGGUAUCAAGACUAUAAAUGUUUCAUGUAUCACAACUAGGACCUCACAUCCUCUUCCUCCUCCUCCUCUGUAGAUGGGUACGAUGCAUCCAGUUCAGUUUGUUUACUUUACACAAACCUCAGGAGUUCGUUGACUGAACUGCACAUUCUUUGUUGUGCCAUGCAAAAGCACUGUGACACCUGGACAAUGAGUCUUUUACUUCAUCCUCUGCUAUACAGACUUAGCUGGCCACAAUGAACUGAUGUGCCCACCACUGUGUCAUGGUAUUUUCAAUAUCUUCACCUCCAAAAUCCCACUGGGACAAGAAAUAGAGAUGCCAGAAUAUCACAAGGAAUAUUGCAGAGUAAUCUUGCUCCAAUUGGACAUGGGAGCUACAGGCAAGCACAGAAAUAAUCAGCCCAGCUUUGGUGCCUUUUGCAAUGUAAGUUGCUUUCCCUGUUGGUUGGCUGUGCCUGUUUCAGGGUAA
rnacentral:lncRNA from 1 species